rnacentral:lncRNA from 1 species
UUAACUCAAAAAGAUCUGAUAAAUAAGGGAUUUUGAAUAAUUAAAAUGAAAGCAUCUAAAUGCAAUCAUGAUCAUAGAAAUGCAAUCCAAAAAUCAAGAGUCUACUAGCAUGUGCCAAGACCCAGAGUCACAAGUGUAUGGGCAAUUCUAGCAACAUAUACAAAAGAUUACUAGUCUAUCGUCUGAAAUGAAAUAGACAGGUAUAUAUAACAAAAGGAAGACUUUAGUUGCUGCAGUACAGCUCGGAAGGGCAACUCAUCGUGUAGUCUUGUAGGGGGAUCAAAUAUGCAUACCGGACUGGUAACCAGAUGUACCUGCCUCAGAUUCUGUACAAUUAAGAACAUAAGCGUAGUAUGCGUAUAUAAACAAUAUGUACCCAGUAAGUAUCCAGUCUAACCUCGAAGAAGUAGCGACGAGAGGUCGACUUUGACACUUACUAUGGGCUAACAAUAAUAUAUUAAAAAUGUUAUACUAAGCAUGGGUUUCAUGAAUAAUACUAAAAUCUCAAUAACAUGAAAUAAUAAGUUCUUCUUUCACAAAUAUCAAAUCCCAAGUUCAGUUUUAUCAUUUAACUAUUGGCAUUUCAAGACAUUUAAAAAAUAUUAAUUAUGAGGAGUUCCAAUGAACUUUUAUACACAAAUUAUGCCGAGGUCGUACGGCCCGAUCCAACAUAGUAUGUAAAUUGUGCACUGUCAAGGGUCGAACAACACGAACCAUAGAUGCAUCUAUCUGCUACCGAGGCGUUCGUCCCACUCCACAAAUAGAAAACAUUUUAAAUAAAACACAUAUUCUCAUAUUUAGUCAAGUGUCUCAUUCGUAACUUCAAGUAAAUAAAUUUUACCUUUUAAAAUUUAUCUUAUCAGCUUCCAAUAUGACUUAAGAAAUUAAAUCAACAAGUAGAGAUGCAAACAUUUUAAAUAAAACAUGGUACGGGUCCUAGACUACCUGAAUAAUAGCAUAAUAGUAGCUACGUACAGACUCUCGUCACCUUGUACGUACGUAGCGCCCACAAAUAGGUACACACAUUUAUUUAAUUCACCUAUGGGGUUAAUUCUCUCUUACAAGGUUAGAAAAGAGACUUAACUCGUCUCAAGGCCUGCUUUCCGGUUCAAGAUUUAUGUUCAAACCCGCAAAUCAGUCCCAAAAAAUCCAAAACUAUUCAACUAGUGUAAAAUCUAAUCAACAUAUGUUCAAAAGUUCAUAUUCUUACUAUUUAAGUGAUUACCCAUCCCUAAAUGUAAGGUUCCUAAAAUUUACCCCCAAGUUCACAUGCUCGGAUUCUGGAAAUUUUCUAAGAAAGUUGUUACUCAUAACCUUUGGAAUAUAAAUAUAUGAUUUUUAUCAAAUUCUAUAAUAUGUUUCGUGGUUAAAUCCCAUUUUUGUCAAACCCUUAGGUUUUCACCUAAGCCUAUAAUUUUCACUAAUUUACAUAUUAUAAAAUACCCAUAAACUAUGUAUUUAGCUCACAUUAUGUAGGAAUUACUUACCUCAAAGUGUUAGGUGAAAUGCCCUCUCUAAGAGCUCCAAGAAUCGCCCAAACAGUGAAAUAAAUAAGCUCAAAAUGCCUAAGUCUCGUAUCAAAUGAGGUUCCGCCUUCUGCAAUUUUUGCACCUGCGAAGGUUUGGCCGCAUCUACGGUCUUGCACCUGCAGAAAAAUGAUUGAAGGUUCCCAUUUUCGCUACCUGACCAAAUUCCGCAUUUGCGGACUCAAGGGACCGCACCAGCCUGCACCUGCGACCAUGAAUUUCGCACCUGCGGCCUUGUAGGUGCGCCAAAAUAGGCUGCCCUCACUCUUUCGCUUCUGUGGCUCGUGGCUCGCACCUGCGGAUGGCCAAGUCAAUGUGCGAUUAUGACAGAUACCUGAUGCUUCAGUUGUUGCUUCCCAAGUCCAAACUUGGUCCGAGCCUCGUUCGAUUAACACUCGGGCCCCCCAGGGCCUGCCUGAAUAUACCAUCAAUUUUGAAAUCAUAAAAUAGAUUCGUUUGAAUUCUCGGAACUCCCAAAACAACACUAAAACUAAGAAUCACGACCCCAAAAUCAAUUGAAUCAAACUUAUGAACUUCAAGUUCUUCAAUUUACCUCUAAUGCGCUGAAACAUCCUUACACUACUCGAAAUGACACCAAAUUUUGCUUGCAAGUCUUAAAUGAAAUUAUGGAACUAUUUGCGGUCUCGAAAUUCCAUUUGGACCUCGUUAUCACCAAAACUUUACAAACCAAAUUUAAAGAACUUCUAAAAUCUUCAAAGAACCAACUUUCACUGUUAAGCGUCAAAACGCUCCCGGAUCAUCCAAAACCCAAUCCAAACAUACGAUCAUGUCCGAAAUCAUCAUACGAACCUAUUGGGCCCGUCAAAUCUCAAUUUUAAGUUCAUUUACUCAAAAUUUUGACCGAAGUCAAACUUAGCCUUUUAAGUCAACUUAAGGAACCAAGUGUUCCGAUUUCAACCCGAACUCUUCCAAAUCCCAAACUAACCGUCUCCACAAGCCAUAAAUUAGUAAAGUAUGUACGGAAAGUCUUAUUUAGGGGAACGAGGUUCUAGAAAGCAAAAUGACCGGUCGGAUCGUUACAUUAAUCCUGAACAAAAAUAGUCACUACUCUAUUAAAAUUAAUACAAAAAGAUGGUUUUACCUUUUCUUCAUGAGUGUUGUGUAAAUAUUAAGAACAUGGAGUCCUUAAUAUUUAUACAGCACUCAUGAAGUUAAGGAUAUGAUGUCCUAAAGUUUAACAACAGAAGGUGCAAAUGUAGGGCACUUUGUCCUUAAUAUUUACACAACACUUAUUGUCACACCUCCUUUUUACACCCCGAGAGGGUAUAUAAGGGAGUUUUUCCAAUUAAUGUGACAUUAUUUGAAAUAAGAUUAUUUAUUUAAUUCAUAGAGUUACCACUUGGAAUAUUUUAAUUAGUGCCCCAAGUCACCGGUUUAUUUUUAAAUCCCAAAUCGAGGAAAUUUUGACUUUCCUUUUGAAGUCUGCGAACCAGAAAUUCUAGCUAAGGAAUUUUGUUAACCCGGGAGAAGGUGUUAGACAUUCCCGUGUUCCGUGGUUCUAGCAUGGUCGCUUAGCAAUUUAUACUUGGCUUAAUUGUUUAACUACUCAUUUUUAAAACCUAUGUGCAAUUAUCUUUUUACCACUUUUAUUUGAAACGAAUCACAUGUACAUGUACUCAUUUUGUUUGGCGCGUCAAAAAUCAUGUCACGCGAACGUGUUCAUAAUUAAUAACGCUUUAUUAUUAUUACUAACGAAGUUUAACCGAAGUUGCGCGUACGCAUACCUCGAUUUAUUUUGAAAAAUCAUAACUAUGUUACGCGAACAUGUACACAAUCACAAUAGAUGAUUAGGAGCUUGAGGAAACGAAUAGAGUUAUUCCAACAAAGUCACAAUAAAGUUAACGUAAAAACAAAGACUAACAUGUGAUAAAUUCUCUAUGAAAACUUGAAAUCAUCAAAUUAGUAGUUUGUUCAUGUACGACUAAUAUACUACAUAAGUCGAAUUAACUUUUCAAACUUCACUAUCAAUCAAACGAAAGGCCCUUAAUUUCAGAAGUUCAAAAGAAAAAGUUCUACAUAAGAAUUCAAAAAUCCACUUAACUAUUCGAAUUGUAUAACUUGAUAAUAAUUUUCUUUAACAAACCAACUUCAACCAUUGACCUCGUAGUUUUUUCACUAAAAUUAGUAUAAUACAAAGUCAGAUAAACAUCUUUUACAAAGAAAUAUUACCUUCUUUUAUGAAGUCAAAUUCUUAGCCCUAACAAAGGGCCCCACUUAAUUAAUUGCAUGCCACAAAAUUAGACGUAAAGAGGGAUAUGUUUUCAAACAAUACUUAAAUCAGUUUUUUACAAAAUAAGCAUGUAAAUUAUGACAACACAUUUAAUUAAAACAAAUAGCUAAAGCAUUGACAUGAGAUUAUGGGAAUCAGUAGAUGAAUUGAAGAAAAGAACGGACCUCUUAGGAUAAACUUUCUUCAACAUUGAUAAAAUAAAUUUCCAAGGUUGAAUUACAGGAGAAAAAUGCCGACUACUACUCGACGGGGAACAGGAGGUCAACCAGAGUUCAAAAACUCGCCGGAUCCAGAUCGCGGAUGAAUGAGGACCUCACUAGAACUUUAGACAGAGCUACGAUAGAACCAUGACGAGAUCAUGGAAAACUCGCCGUAAAGCUCGCCGGAGUUCAAACGGAGACAUCACUUAAACUCAAACUAUUUUUGAUGAUUUAACGUCUGUUUGUGAAAUGGUUGUUUGUUCUGGGCUAGGAUGAAGCCAUGGCAGAUUUUCUCGUUUUUUAUUGAAGGAGACGAUGAAGGGGGGGUCUUCUUUUGGAGUUAUACGGCAUUAUUGUUUCUUCGGAGUCUAGGUUUUCUUUUUCAGCUUUUUCCUUAGCUCCCUAGGUCUCUUAGGUGUUCAGGUCAGCCUUGUUUUGUCUUUGUAUCUUCUUUUUUUUUGCUUUUUUCUUUGAUCUCUUUAGAAAACGGCGGAUCAGUAAGUUUUUUAGGGGCAGGUCAAU